rfam:Xenopus laevis strain J chromosome 6L, whole genome shotgun sequence.
CUUUAUGGAGCCUGCAUUGUACACACUGUGUGUGUACCUCAGACUUGCACAGCGCAUACAAUGUGGAUGCUAUAUGA